rnacentral:misc_RNA from 1 species
AACGCAUAUGGCACCCGAGACUUCGGUCGAGGGUAUGUCUGUCUCAGAGUCGGCGUAAAAACAUCCCCAGGGAAACUGACCUUUCUCUGGGGGAGCUGGCCUUCCCGGAGCCUCUUGGCCCGGGUCGGCCGAAGGUUAGAGACGGGGGACCGCACGCGCGGACAGCCAAGAUUUUGGUGGGAGGACCUCGCGUCCGCAUCAUCGAUCUGGCGUCCGUCUCGAAAGCGUGCCGGCCGUUUGGGGCCCCGCCAGUGCAGGAAAAUAAUACAUUCUUGUUCCGACCUGAGAUCAGGCAAGAUCACCCGCUGAACUUAA